AUGUGCUCCGUGUCGAUGUUCUCCAGGUCGAUCUCCUCCUCGUCCUCCCGCUUGUCCUCUUCCCCCUCGUGGUCGCUCCCGUAGGAGUUGCCUUCCUCGUCCGUCCGGCUGCGGGGCGCCCAGGCCCGAAGAUCUGACAACCCACAUCCACCUGGAAUGAUACUUGGAUUCAGAAACAAAUUCUCCAUUAGCUUGAAAGGAAUGUCCCUGCACAUGCCGAAUUUGUGAUCCGUCCAGACUCUGGACCCCUCGACAGACUCUACCGUUCUACAGUUGCCAGAGCUAAUGGAAUGAGUCAUCGACAGAGUGGAUUAUUUAAAGCGCCAUAUGGAGAAACAGAAGCGCAGAUCGAUCAAGUAGCUCUCUCAAGAUCACACGCCAAGCCAGCACCAGAACCAAAACUAGAACAUAGAACUCCGACUCUGACAAUGAGGUUAUGCUGCCUCCCGUAAGAUAUGAUUACAAUGACAAGGGAGAAAAUAUGCUUCUGGACUCCAAAGCUGAAUGUGACAGAGAGAGACUUCUGCAAGCCUUGCUCGGAGAGAACUGUAAAACUCAAGUCUUGUAGUUAUGAGGUUAUGCCUGGUUGUUGUGAGAUAAAUAUGGGUGCAGCUUAUGCAAAUUGCAAAACUAUUAACCACGACUGGUAGAUGGUUUUCAAUGGUGAGGUUGUGAUUGAAAAUGACACCUAGAUACUUACCAUUAUUCAUUACUUCUGACAAAGUCAUUUCUAUAAGUUGGGGAUGGGACAUGAACGAGAUGAAAGUAGCCUCAUGGCACAGUUUUGGUCUUCAAAGCAAUAUUCACAGGUAUUUGGUAAAGCUUUGUUAUCCUCAAUUAUAUAAUGGUGUACACUAUACGGGUCACAAAUAAUUAGCACAGAGUUUUUAUAAAUCGUAGCUACAUGUGUACCUGGGGCAGAAUUCUUAUGCCAGCACCGUGUGCAAAUGUUAUUUCUCUUUUACAUAAAUGAAAAUGACAUAAUUGGUAAUAAGUUUAAUUUAGUCCAGGUCAGCUGUAUACGGUAAGGCAUAAAGGCUAAUUUGGCAUCAAUAUAGCCAUAUGAUAAUGUGAGAGUUUAAAGAAUGAAGAACUUGAUUUUCUUCUUGAAAACCCCUAUAUGACUAUGUCUCAUGCUCAAAGAUAUAAUCCCAAGGAAAAAAUGUGGCACUUUCAAAGGUUAAAUAGCUAUCACAGAGGGAGUGGUCCCUGGCUGCCAUUUUGAAUUCACUCUUCUGAGGAGCCAGAGUUUUACAGUUUUAAGUUCCUUUCUCCCACUCUUCAAAAUGACGUGUUUGAAAUCACAUGACUGGAUUCACACUUCUGAUGGGGCGGGGGCAGAGUUUGAGGACAAAAAUGCCAUUGGAAUAAAUAACCUCUUCUGACUUUUCUUUUUUGGUCAACCACACCUAGCAUAUUAUAAUAAAAAAAAUCCCUCUAGCCUUCAAUUCUUCAUAGGCACAAGAGAGCAAAUAUUGUUGAGGAUAUCCCCAUCACACUGGAACUGGUGCAAUUCUAGUCCAAAGAGGACAGUCAGAGUCACAGAGGCUGACAUCUCCCACACAGUGUAGAGUACAAUUCCCUGGCAUGACUGUUAUGUUCUGCAACUAUGUGCAUCCACUGGCCAUUGUUCCCAGUGAAGGUGCAGGAAUAUUAGAAACAUAAUGUCUUGACUUCAGCAGGUUUAAAUCUGAACUCCCAAACAUGAUCAUAGUCCAAAGUUUUUUUUUGUAAUGGUGGGAAUCCAUAUUUAUUCUGCAGUGACGCUGUUGAUAAAAUAAACUUGUUUUUCCAGUCACCACAAUCCAGCCUGGGAUCUGAAAACUACUGUUCUUUCUGCUCCUUACAUUAUUGCUGGCACUAAAGAUUUUAUCAUCUGAAUUUAGCUGCCAAUUCCGUUGAUGACACACGAGGCAGAAUAUAAUGUUUUAUGCUUCCAUAGCUCAUUGCCUCUGCAACAUCAACAGGGAUAUCAUAGAAUCAUAGAAUAUCAGGGUUGGAAGGGACCUCAGGAGGUCAUUUAGUCCAACCCCCUGCUCAAAAGCAGGACCCUUCUUGUCGUGACGUUGGGUUGAGGGUGACUGUAUGAUGGCAUGGAGUGGCUGCCUUGGUGACCUUUCCUUCAGAUCUCUGCACAGCUGUGCUAAGGAUAACCUCCUGUAGUUGGUCAAAAUCUGGUGUCUCUGAUCCUGAUUUGGGACAUGAUACAAAGCUCACUGAAGUCAUGGCCUUGCUGCUGCAGCUCAUCUUGCUCCCUCUUAUUCAUUCAGUGUCUACUGGCAGCAGAAAGCCUGCAACUUCUUUUCUUUUCUUCUCUCUAUCCUUCCGGAGCUGGUUUCACUGGUCUUGGGGUGGGGGUUGGGGCAGGUUGGUGCUUGGGAAUAACAGCUGUGAUGUUGUGCUUCAUAUGUUUUAUGGAAAUAUGCUUAUGAGUGUGAAUGUGAUGUAACUGGAAUAUGCUUUAUGCAAAAGGUCUCUUGUAAGGGAUCAUAACAAAGGUUAUAACCUACUGAAUAUAUUUGUAUGUAUGUAUCAUUCUUGUAUCUGAGGCUAAAAAUAUGAAGUAUAACUCUGAGGUCCUAUUGUAAUUAUGCAAAGUGUGGGCCAUUAAUGGUGGCUUAGAAUCUUGAUGGCUCCCAUUGACUAGGACAAUUGGUUGUAAAUGGCUGUUUACUUGCAAACCUUCCUCUGUACAUGUGGGCCAGCCCAGGAAGAAUGGAGGGUGGGGUCUCACAGGACAUGUGAUCAUGUCACCUGAUACUGGAAUCCAUCCUAAAUCUGGUACUUUUCCAUUUAGAAGGAGAGGUGGGGACUCGGAGAGACGAAAGAUUCCUGGCUUGUGCCAAAGCUAUAAAAAGGGGUGAAGCAGGACAGAAGGGGCUUCCAGGGACAUCCCUGCUUUCCACCUGAGAUGUCUGCUGGAACUAAGAAGGACUGUACCAGGUGAAAGGAUUGGGCCCAGACUAGGAAGGAGUAUAGUCUGUGAAAGAAGCUUAUUGGAACAUCUCGGAGAGUGAGAUAUUAUCUGUAAUCAGUUUCUUAAUGUAUUAGGCUUACACUUGCACAUUUUUGCUUUAUUUUGCUUGGUGACUUACUUUGUUCUGUCUGUUAUUACUUGAAACUACUUAAGUCCUACUUUUUAUACUUAAUAAAAUCACCUUUGUUUAUUAAUUUA